GACAGAUUUGGGAUCACCUCGUUAGAACUGAUAAGAGAGGCCGGAGUCCAUCUUGAAAAUUAUUCCUUAGUUUUUCCUUACCCUGCUUCAUCUAACAUUGUGAUUAGUUGAAACACUACAUAACCUUGUUUGAAUUUGAAGCUAAUAGGCCACACCAAAUAUAAAGAGGUAUGGCAGGUGCACAGAAUACUCACAUUGCUAACAAGUUUGGGGAAGAAGUUUAUAUCGCUGUCGUUCACCCUAAUGAACGUGAAGAUCGGAUUUACGUGGAGGCCGGUAAAAUUCGGAAUGUGGCUACAGACAAAGGGCCUGUGACUGUGAAAGUCUUUAACCCGUAUUAUGAGAAUACGGAGCUGGUGGAACAGAGGACCAUUCCAUCUGAUAUGAGCGUCGUGAUUGUGAAGUCUGGAACCGGAAGACCUAAAAUUUCCCGUGUAAUAUAUGGGAAAUUAUGGGAUGUAGACCCUUAUGAUGAGGGCAAAUAAAAAGGUUGCAGUUGUAAAUGCCAAUAACAAUAUCUAUAUAAUAUCUAUAUAAUAUCUAUAUAAUAUCUAUACUGCCUUUAUAAAAGUUCAAAUUCAGGGCUAGAUUACGAGUGGAGCGGUAGUUUGCACUCACUUGUUAAUUCCGCUAGACGGAGGCUUUUGAAAGUAAAAGAUGAAAGUAAACAUUUUUUUGCACGAGCACUAACCCA